CACUGACCAAAGAGAGAGACCAGCUACAGACCAGCUACAACACACUGACCAGAGAGAGAGACCAGCUACAAUCUUUAGUUCAGAAAGUGUGUCCUCAAGGAUGGAAGAAGCUUGGUAGCAGUUGUUACUACGUCUCUACUGACUACAAAUCCUGGGAGGAGAGCAGACAGGACUGCAGAAAUAGAGGAGCACACUUGGUGGUCAUCAACAGCCAAGAGAAACAGACAUUAGUCAAUUGGUUAUGUGGACGAAAGAACUAUGCCUGGAUUGGUCUGACUGACUCUGUUUCUGAGGGGACCUGGAAAUGGGUGGACGACACACCACUGACCACAAAGUAUUGGAACAGUGGAGAUCCUAAUGGUGGAAGAGCUGAGAACUGUGUGUAUUUCUACUCCAGGUCAUCAGACACAGGAGAAUGGUGGGACUAUGACUGUUCCUAUAAAUACAGAUGGAUCUGUGAGAAAUAGGAUUCAUCCUCGGUACUCUGAACUGCUAAAUAGGAUUAUGAUAAGUACUAUCAAUCGUAAACUAUUUUCUGCUCAUUCUAUUUACCUUGUCAAGUACAUACAAUAUAUAACAAUGCAAAUGAAUAAUACAUUAUAAUCAAACCAACAAAACAUAUGCAAUAACAAUACAAUGAAUUGAUAACAGAAUAACUGUUCUCUCUGUUGUUGUGGAAAUUCACCACUAAGGACUCAAAUUCAAAGGAAAUGAAUCCAUCUUUAUUAUCUCAGUCAUCGAGGUUCACUGACUCAACACAAGCCUGAUGUUAAUUUUUAUUAUUAUUACUUUUUAGUUUAGUCUACUUGCUAAAUAUUUUCUUAACUCUUCUU